rnacentral:rRNA from 1 species
CCUACGGGGGGCAGCAGUAGGGAAUAUUGCUCAAUGGGGGAAACCCUGAAGCAGCAACGCCGCGUGGAGGAUGAAGGUUUUCGGAUUGUAAACUCCUUUUGUUAGAGAAGAUAAUGACGGUAUCUAACGAAUAAGCACCGGCUAACUCCGUUCCCGCAGCCGCGGUAAUACGGAGGGUGCAAGCGUUACUCGGAAUCACGGGGCGUAAAGGGCGCGUAGGCGGGAUAGCCAGUCAGAUGUGAAAUCCUAUGGCUUAACCAUAGAACUGCAUUUGAAACUGUUAUUCUAGAGUAUGGGAGAGGUAGGUGGAAUUCUUGGUGUAGGGGUAAAAUCCGUAGAGAUCAAGAGGAAUACUCAUUGCGAAGGCGACCUGCUAGAACAUAACUGACGCUGAUGCGCGAAAGCGUGGGGAGCAAACAGGAUUAGAUACCCCUGUAGUC